GAAACAAAGUCAAUGGGAACGAUCUGAGAGGAAGACUCCUGUGUCAUUCACUGGUUCUGUGGAAAGCUUUGAGGUAGCUGACAAAUGAAAGGGCAGCCAUGCUGUACUGCUGAUGACAACACUGAAGUAAGACAGAAGCAAACCAGAAAGAUGAAUGAAACCAAGGUAGCAGCUAGGAAAUGACUCACGGAAGAUCAUGUGACUCUCAGUGGCUUUGUGACGGAGCUCAGGAAACCACACUUCCAUUUCGUACCCUGAUCACUUAGCUAUCCCCUGGUAAAGUGUCCAGAGGCAGAGUGGAGAGGAAGAGGAACCUUGGGACUGCUCUGCAGUUGGUAGACUGCAUUUCACAGUGCAUCAGGGCUUUGAGGAGCCCGAGGAAAAAUUCCACUACUGUCCUCACCGAAUCCCCAGAGACUCGUGUUUAAAGGCCUCAGCUGCACCACCACCCCCUGGCUUUCACCCUCCCACACCCAGACCUGAGCAUCGGCGCCCUUGGGGAAACAGUGCAACAGUGACAUUAAGUUGCCCUCUCUCUGAGGAAUCAAUAGGAUCCACUGUGGGACAGUGCCCAGUGUCCCUCCUGCAACUGCAUAAAGGGCCACGACUGAAUUGUGGUGUUUAAAUCCUCAUCUUCACAUAUAUCCAUGUCACUUGAAAACUGCACAGAACGUGUGAUUCCCAGUUUAACACAAUCAAAGACCUCCCUUGGAGAGAUAAACCAUGCCAAGGCCAAGAAUUCUACUGGUUCCCAAGAGGUGCCUUAAAAGAUGGCUCGAAAAGAUAAUGAGGAGCAAUUGAGGGAGAUUCUAGCAGCUUCUCUUGGUUCUUUUCAUUAACUUCCACCCAAGAGCCCAGUUACUAAAGGGUUUGCCCCGGCUUACAGUCAUUGAAAACCACAGACUCCCUUCUACUGCAGAGAUUGGAGUGCUCCCCCUGAAUGCCAGAAUACCACCAGAGCUCCGUCAUCCCACUUUUGUAAGACAGGGUCUCUCUUCAUAGUCCUGCCUGUCUUGGAACUCACUAUGUAGGUCAGGCUGGCCUUGAACUCAUAGAGAUGGGUUUCUCUCUGCCUCCUGAGUGUAAAUGCUGGGACUAAAGGCGUGUGCCACACGUCUUAACUCUGUCACAGAGGUGAAAGGUGAGAAGCAUUCCACAUCAGUCUCAGGAAGGCUCUGUCACUAACCAUCAACUCUAGAGUGAGUCACAGCUAAAAUCCCCUGUUCUCAAUUUGAAAGACGGGAAAUUUUGUAGCAAUAAAGAACACCCCAGGGUCUCACGGGGCACUCCAGAGAGCUGAGUGCCUGAGUUCCUAUUAAUGUCAAAUCAGACUUUAGACAGAAGAACCUCACUGGCCAUUAUAUUAGCUACUAGCUAUUUAAAUGUAACUGUUUUCUAGACCUAGUGGGUCACACUGUAAUCCCAGCACUUGGGAGGCUGAGGCAGGAGGGUCAUUUUGCAUUUACACUCAGGAGGCAUUUCAAGACCAGCCUGGACUAUACAACAAAACUUUUACUUAAAAUGCACACAUACAAAAUGAAUGAUUGAAUAAAUCAAUAAAACUAUUUAAUGGAUAUGGUGGUAUGCUGGAGGCUGAGGCUUUGGCAUUGCAAGUUUAGGGACAACCUGGGCUACCCAGGAAAACUCCUCAGAAUUAGAUAAAUAAAUAAUAAACAGAUAAAAAAUAAAUAAUAAACAAUAAACAAAUGUAACUAAUUAGGGCUCACCACGUGAUUCAGUAAUAGAGCAAUUACUUAGUAUUCAGGAGUCCAGUUUGGUUGUAAUCAAUGCACACACACACACACACACACAGAGCUAUCUAAAUGUCAGUUUAUUUAUGUUUUUGUAAUUACACAUUUGUGUGUGUUUAUAUUAUGUGCUUUUGGGUGCCCUUGGAGGCCAGAUGAGGAUAUUGGAGCUCCUGGAGCUGGAUGGAGUUAAAGGUGGUUGUAAAUCUCCCAAUGUGGAUGCUUGGAACUGAAAUUGGAUCCCUCAAAAAAAAAGCAGUAUGUGCUCCUAACCACUAAGGUAUCUUUCUAGCCCCCUAUAUUAAUUUGUUAUUUCAUUUAUUUAUUGAAACAAGAUCUUGCUAUGUAGCCCCGGCUAGUCUAGAACUCACUAUGUAGACCUUGGUGUCCUUGAACUCUCAGAGACCCAUUCACCUGCCUUCACCUCCUGAGUACUGAGAUUAAAGAUGUAUGCCACCAUA